rnacentral:rRNA from 1 species
UGGGGAAUUUUGGACAAUGGGGGCAACCCUGAUCCAGCCAUGCCGCGUGAGUGAAGAAGGCCUUCGGGUUGUAAAGCUCUGUCGGCCGGGAAGAACUCGUAUGGGUUAAUCCCCCGUGCCGAUGACGGUACCGGCACAAGAAGCCCCGGCUAACUACGUG